ensembl:lncRNA
UGCGUGUGUGUGUGUUUCUGACUGAGAGUGAGUGCUUAUUAUGUGUUCAUACCCCUUCAUCUCUACUUUGGACAACCGUCACACUUAGACUCUGUGCUCGGUCCAAUAUGUUAUAACCGGCAAUCAUCCUCACACACACACACACACACACCCUCCUCUAAACCUGACACUUCUCUCAGCGAGUACAAAAACAACAAUCAAUCACCUGCCUCUCCGAUACAUCAGUGACGCCUGCGUCGGGACGGGGUUCUGAUUGGACGAGAGAGGUGUCAGUCAGUGGCUCUUUUGUGAAUCUAGGUCAGACUGCUGUGAGAAUAGAGGCAUGGAGCUCUUCUCUCCCCCCCCCCCCCCACCCCCACCCCACAUCUCCGGUGGCCAUUGGCUGUCUGGAGCAGCCCGGGGAGCCGCCCAUUAAGUAUGGUUGAAGGACAUCGAGACAGAGAGAGAGAGAGAGAGAGGGGGGCAGAGCGAGAGCGAGAGGCCUGGUGACUCCUUGCGGUCUCCAUUUACCGGAGCCUGAGUGGGCUCCGGUUGUACAGGGAGAGGUGGACUGAGGGCAGAUCAGAUGUGACUGUUCUUAAAGGCGAGGAAGAGGAGAAGGACAGCUGGGAGGAGUACAGUGACCGGAGGUUAGCCUCAGUGCUUCUCCUGUGACAUUGGCAGUGUGCGUGUGUGUGUUGACAAGAGCUGGUAUAGUGUCGUUUUUAUGUGUGUCAAGAGUGAGAGGAAGGUAGUGAAUGCCCUUACACGUGUGGGAUGAGAGUGAGUGAGUGUGCGUAUUCACAUGUAUGGUUCUGUGUGUGCGUAUGUGUGCAUGUGCGUGCGUGUGUUACUUCCUGAAGUAAAGAAGCCCCCCCCUGUCUGUUUCUACGGGGAAAACAACAGAAAGUAGAAUUCCCCGCGCCAGCGCGUCUCCGUGCCAAGAAAGACUCUGGUUUCACUAGAGUCUCCCAUUUCCCCUCCUCCCAUCCUUCCCAGUCCACUAGCUGGGUGACAGUCUGUGUACAGAACUGUGUACAGAAAGCGUGCUAUACACCUAACUGACUUUUUUUUUUUAUUAAUGUGUAGAUUAAGUUUAGUUUUCAGCGGUGACACCAACACAACACUGUACGUCCUCACUACUGCUUUCGUUGGAUUGCUUUGCAUUCAGACAUUUUGCCUGUUCACAUUGAAUUUUCUCUUCUCUUGUGUCUUUUUCUUUUUACUGAUUUGAAUUCAUUUUAUUUUGGGUAUUUUUUUGGAAAUGAUUGGACAUGAUUUUAAUUUUGACUGUGUUUAACCGUCAAGAAAAGAUGACUUGGGAGGUUCCGAUCGGGUUUUUAUUUUUGCUAAAAUAUUGUUUCACCCCAGUGCAGUCCCAUGAUGAUCCGUCGUGACUACAGUGUUCUGUCGAUGUAACAUCUAAUGUUCUUUCUUUCUUCUAUAAACCGUGAUGCUCCACAAACUCUGUGCUGCCGGCAACGGCACAGUCUGUAAUAUAAUGAGGGCCGCGAAGGUCAACGACCCUUGACCUUUGCCCUAUGCUCCUAACAGCGGACCCCACCCCCCCCCUACACCCCUCCGAACUGGGGGACCAGGGAGGGCAUUCAGCCUACAGUAUUGUGUGUGUCAUCGAUGGGGUCCUCCCCGGGGGGGGGGGCUCUGCUUCGUACCCCAACACAAGCCCGUCCCAAGCUCUCCAUUUGGGGCCGUACAGGGUCAGAACUAGGGUCUGGGGCCCGGUCUUCUCUGGGGGGCCCCCAGAACGGGUCGGGGAUUCGGGGGAAUGGAAACCGGUCGGACAGAGAGGAGAUUUCCGUUUGACGGCUCAGAAAACACUGGAGGAGGGUUUAUCCAACAUAUUGUGAUGUUUUCACUCAAACGUGGAGUACACGAAAGAAGAAAAAUAAUACUACGAUACCGUGACUUUGUAGAUCUUUUGCACUCGUUGACUACCUAUCUGUGCAUGCCCAUUCACCACUUCUACAUGUGAAGCCCUUUUUCUCAGGCCAUGCUGUCGAAUACCGAUCCUAUUUAUGUCAAAAAGGCUUUGUGACUACAAUCAUAUCUUCAGUGUAUACGAGAUCACACCGUUCAAUAUAUAUCUAUAAAUGUGUGUGCGUCUUUUCCUGAACAUAAACAAAAAGGAUGCCAAGAUUUCAGAUUUGUUUUUAAAAAAAAGGAAAUGGAAUCAGGCGGCCGAGGGGAAUUGGGUUAUCGCCGGUCGGUUGACUCUCGUCGCCGGAACCGACGACUGAAGGCAGCAGAGUGGGGGGUAGAACGACGAAGAGACAAUAUUAACUUAGGCUGUGAGUGGAAAAAAAACAAAAAAACAAAAACAACAACAACAUACUAUGGUGAGAUUUGUGAGAUUUGCACAACAGUUCUCUUAAGUGUUACAUUCAUCGUUCCCCGGUCCUGUUGACCUCCCUAUCCUACCUGUAGGUCUGACUAGGUUAGUCCCUGCUCCCCACCCAUGGUCAGGGAUCACCCUGCCAUCAGACUGCCCUGUAUGACAGGAGGGGGUGCUGGGUGGAGGGUGCGGCAGCUGACGGAGGUGAUGCUAGUUUCCACAGCUGUGACAGUGAGUGCAGUGACACAGCAUGCCUAUGUAUAGAACUCGUUCCCCCCGGAUUAGACGAAGAAGAAAAAAAUGGUGAACUCACUUUGUUUCUGUAACUGAUCCAGGCAAAAAAAUGAAAAUAUAUAUAUAUGAAAAGUUCAAUGAAAAAGUUCAAUAAAAUUGUCAUGUUUGUAGGUAACUUUUAA